rnacentral:sRNA from 1 species
AGCAGCCGCGGUAAUUCCAGCUCCAAUAGCGUAUAUUAAAGUUGUUGCAGUUAAAAAGCUCGUAGUUGAAUUUCGGGAUCAAUUGAUUGGUCAUGCCUUGGUAUGAACUGGUCAUAUUGGUUCUCACCUUCUAAUGAACCAUAAUGUCAUUCACUUGAUGUUAUGGGGAAUUAGGACUGUUACCUUGAAAAAUUAGAGUGUUUAAAGCAGGCUUACGCUUGAAUACAUUAGCAUGGAAUAAUGAAAUAGGACAUCGCAUUCUAUUUUGUUGGUUUCUAGGAUCGAUGUAAUGAUUAAUAGGGAUAGUUGGGGGCAUUAGUAUUCAAUUGUCAGAGGUGAAAUUCUUGGAUUUAUUGAAGACUAACUACUGCGAAAGCAUUUGCCAAGGAUGUUUUCAUUAAUCAAGAACGAAAGUUAGGGGAUCGAAGACGAUCAGAUACCGUCGUAGUCUUAACCAUAAACUAUGCCGACUAGGGAUCGGAUGAUGUUAAUUUUUAAAU